AUUUUUAGCAUGCCGUCAACGUGCAUGUGAGGACGUGUGUGCUGUGAGAGCAUGUGGUGCAGAGGCCACAUCCCUGUGAUUUAUCAGCUAUCCUCACCCUUGCAGGUGGACCUGGAGAGACCCACUCUGACCUGCUCCAGCACUGCAGGGAAACCUGUCGUUUGCAAGAGGAUGUUCAGUUCACAACCACGGGGAGCUGUUUGCUUGGGGAUAAAACAAAGAGGCCCAGAGAAAGUGCUGGAUCUGAAUGGAUGAGCAAAGAUACAUGUCUGGAAGAGAAGAGCCAGCUAUCUGCCAAAGCCAUCAGCCUGCAAGCGCUCGCAGGAACUCGUGUGCUCUCCCUGCUGAUCUUGCUGGUUUAGUAAGGAAAAGCAGUCCUGGCUGCAGAGGAUGUCUGGUGCUCACAGGAGGGACAAAGCAGAUCCAAAACUGUAGGGCUAUCCUGAUUCUGUUCCCUACCUGCCACCCUGCCUGGUUCCUGAGCACAAAGGAGUUUUGGGGACUGAUGGCUUGCACAGCAAGCAACCAUGGAGUUUGUCUGAAAUUAUGUCCUCUCUGAUUUGGAUGAGCAUGUGAGGAACACAGAGAGGCAACAGAAGGGGUUAAAUCAAUAGUUACAUUUAAAUCAAUACCCUGAUUUAUGCUCCUGUCCCAGUGUUGCUGACUUUCUUUGCCCCCUGAUUUGAGGGUGCAGACCUCAGUGGCUCAUUCUGAGCCACCAUUUCUGUGGUGAACAUGGAUUUUGACAGACAUGCUGCAGGAUUGGGCUGAUUUGUUGGUUUUUUUGUUGAGAAG
rnacentral:lncRNA from 1 species